rnacentral:misc_RNA from 1 species
UGGCAAUUCCCAUGGCAUAAUUGGUGGAUAUGUUCAUGGUAAUAAGGAAAUGGUUAUGGAUCAAGUGGAACUGGUCCAUUCUCAAGAUGCUCGAGGACCUUACAAAGUUCUUCUGAAGCAGCAUGUGGGAGGGAAGAGUUGAAGGGCAUAAGUGUGAUGAUACCAUGAAAACCAAUGCAUCAUAUCCUCUGAAGGGCAAGCAUACGAGAAAGUCAUCGUGCGAGAAUGGCUGGACGGCAGAUAACAAGAAAGAUGAUGAAUUGGAUGCGAGAAGAAUGGCACUAGUUGAAGAAGCUUCUUCUGAGGCUGUUAACAACCAAGGAGUUGUCCCUAUGAAAGUGAAGUC